UGGCUUCGCCGCGCCGCGCCGCACCGCGCCGCUCCAGUGCGCGCUGCGUAGCGCCGCGUGCGUGUUGUAUGAUUGUAUCCUGUGGGAUGCGCGGCAAUAAUUCGGCGAUUAACCCGCGACUGAUCACGUCGCCAAGCACGUCUGGCUGGAAAGCGGAAAGGCGAAUGCUUAAUAAACAUUCCGGUCAUUUGUAAAUAUACAAUCGUGGAAGAUCUCGCGGAGAUCUGCUCCGAGAAAAGUAUACUUACGGCCGGAAGCCGCUGGAUACAGUAGCGAGCUUCCGCGAGUAUCUUUCGGAUUUCUGUCAAAAUAUUUCAUUAAACAAACAGAUCUGUGAAAGGAUAUUCUUAGAUUAAUUAAUUUAAUAAUUUGACGAGACAUCGCAUUUUUAUUACCAGCGAUUUAAUAUUCCUUUCGCCGUGAAAUUACCACAAAAGUAGAACAAUACGAUACAAUUGGGCACAAUACAAUGCGGCACGUUCUCACAUCUCUUUCUCCCGGGACCCAUUCAAGAUGAAACUUUUCACGAGCUCCGGGGCGACCGGUGAAGAAUAUCGCACCGUGGUGUUUCCUCCGGCCCCCUCUGGUUUUUCCGCUUUGCUCGCGUCGCGAACUCACCCACGAGUUUUGCUCUCUCCAGCGCGACAGAUCGCGCGUGAAAUGCCGAGACGAAUGGCGACGGAGCCGAGAGGAUUGGCAGAGUGUCUUGUAACGUGCGAGCUAUGCGUUACGAUAUAAUGCAGAACCAAUCAUGUUGGCCGAUUACGUCCGGUAAUUAACCCACGAGCAAUCAACGUGAUAUGAUGAAUGUAGCUUCUUCCCGCCCGUGAUACUCAAAGUCGUGGAUUCUCUUAACUACUCAUAAAAAGUGGUCUAUAAUAAAUAAAGGAUCGAAGAAAUAUACCGUGUGUAACAUGGAAAUAAGAC